rnacentral:lncRNA from 1 species
AUCGAAUUCGCCUAACAUGAAGGUAACAUCGAUCUACUCAGCUAGGAACAUACCAGUGCCCAGACACGAACAGGUUGCCCCCGGAUGGAGCGACGGUAGUCUCGCGGUUCAAUGGCGAUGCGCCGGCCCCGACCGAAAUCGCCUCUGCGCGGUACAGAAAAUCACCGAGUCCCGCCUCUUGGUCCUGCCCGCGCGCACCAGAAGCUCCUGCCGCGCCCAGGUCUGACGUCGCGAAGAACGCCAGCCACGAUACGGGGGCCGUCGCAGCCGCCACACGCUGCCAGACUCCCAGCAAAUCCCCCACACGCGAGCUCGCAGGUGAAGAUCCUCUCGGCUUGUUUGGGUAUGGUAAUUGCGGUGCGCGUCUAGGGAUUAGAGGAGAGAGAAGGUAAGGCUAUUUAUAGAUGACGGACAGAUGAUGCCCAACUGGAGCGGCCAAAAGGUAGGGCACGACUGUUACAUCCUAGGUCCGUUCGAAGCUCAAUCGGAUGCUAUGGCAAAGACGUGCGCUUUCUGUUUUUUUAGCUACAAGUUGUAUACGGUGGAGACUCCCUUGACCCAUCUGUAAGUGGACGUGGGAUUCCUACAGAUGACGUCAGGGAUGAUGUCGUGAUGAUGUCAUGCCCGGCGAGAUGAAUAUAAUAAUCAUAGAAUAAAAUAAAAAAAACACAAGCCUCCCAUGACUUGCACGGUCGGCCAGCCCAACGAGUUUGGUUGGCUAGGGAAUUUUCGGCCCAGCAUGGCUUUGUUUUUUUUUGUUUUUGUUUUUUUCCUAUUUCCUUCAAUUGAAUUUCAAAUGUAAAUAUAGUUUUGUAUCCCAAAUUCUAAUCUAAUGCAACACAUAAAAUAAAUUCCAGCAUGAUGCAUUUUUUAACCUUAUUUUAUUACUUAUUAGCUAAUUUAAUCACUUGAACAUGAUGAUUUUAUUUAUGCAAAACAAGAACAUCCACACAAUAUAAUUUUAUAACCCCUUUUCUUUUAUUUAUCAAGAAUUUGGGUAUUACAAAUCCUACCCCCUUAAAAAUAAUCUCGUCCUCGAGAUUUGUAAGAAAAGGGAUAUAAUAGGUUUGGUCUAGAAUUUUAGUUUCUCAUUUGGUUUUGGGAAUCAAAGUUUUGUUCAAGUUUUUUUUUACAGUUAGUAGAUGAUAUGAAUAUUGUAUGUCUAGAUAUUCAUUAGGUCAGGUACGGUUAUGGCAAGUAGAGGUUGUGGCAAGGGUAUAAUAAGGAAAGACUUCAUCCUAAACUAUGGAUCUUGAUUCCGCUAGCGAUUCAACUUGAUCUUUGAAGUCUUGAGUUGAUGCUUAUCCUUCUUUGACAUGAUUGGUCUUCUUUGGCCUUUAUUUCUUGGAGUUGUCAUCCGAGUUAAGGACAUAUGGCUAGGACAUAUGUGAGUAGGAUGGAUUGUAUGGUGUAGGUAGGUUAGAAUCUCUUGCUAGGUUAAAAUUGUGGGGUUAUGCAACUAUUGGAUGGUUAAGGUAGUUGCAUAUGGCCAAGUCGAUCUGUCAUUCUUAAUUUAGUGCAGGGUGAACUAAGUUAAGACCCGUUCUAUAGGAGUAGAGUCUAAUCUAUUUCAUCAGUAUUAUCUAACAUGUUUGAUAAGUCACUUUAGAUUAGAUCAGAUCUAGGUUAGAUUGGUGUGACUAGUUUGACUAGAUAAGAUUUUAUUUAUUUUAGGCUAGAUCAUGGUUGUUACACUAGCGUGGGAUAAAUAUGCUUAUUGGGGUAAGAUGAAUCCAUAAGGAUAAGGUAGAAUCUUUUGAGGUCAGAUAGAUCUAUUAGGAUAAGAUAAAUCUUUUCAAGAUAAGAUGAGAAUCUAUUUUUUGAGGAUAAGAUGGAUCUAUGAGUGUAGGAUAGACUUUUUCAAGAUAAGAUGGAUUUUGCUAGGCUAGAUUCUUUGAUGAGGGAUAACCUAGUUCAUUUAGAUAUUUUUAUAACCGUUUUUUCUAUAUGUAUAUGCAGAUGUGAUUGUGGACAUUACUCCACAACUAAUCACACUCAAUCAAAGAUCCAAAUCAAACAAGUAUCAUAAGAACAAACAUUCAAGCAUACAAAUACCUAUAAAAAUAGUUUUGUUUUUGUUCCUAAGAGUAGGUCUCCUAUUCCUAAAGUCACUUUAGGCACAGGAUUUCAAAGUGUGAAAUCCACAUUUGUCUUUAGAAUGAAAAGGUAAGAAUAAUCAGAGUAAAGCGGAAAUAGGUGAGAAAUGAUCAAGAUAAGUUUAGAAAAGAAUCAUAGUAGCAAAGGUAAGGUUAAUCAGAGUAGAACAGUAGAAGAUGAGACAAGAUCAAGGAAAGUAUAGAAAGAAUCAGAGUAAGGUAAGUAUAUAAGGGUUGUCCAGUUCUAUCUAGGUUUCGUCCUACAGUCAACAUUCCUCUGAUACCACUUCUGUAACACCCGGGUUUUAGGGGUCCAAAGCCCGGGCGUAAACAUAAUCACCAGGUGUGCUGGGACCAAGUCUCACACAUAUGAUGAAUCAUGGCACAGGAUCGAAUGUCACAUCUUUACUAUAUAACAGGAGUUAUGUACAAAAAUAAUUAAAUAAUUACAUCAUAUGAGGAAAUGAUCCAGCAACCCAAAGUUGACUGGGAGACGACGGCCUAGAUCUCUCUCACGAACUCAUCGCAGCAUCCUCCAUGCGCCUCAUCCUGUGGUACCUGUUCUUGACCUGUGGGGGGGGGGUGUGAGACAGCAAGAGUGAGCUCACAUACGUUCAUCGCUCAACAAGUUGUGGGGAAUAAUGUGCAUGAACUCGCCAAAGGUGGGAGCUCACGUGAAGUGUAAGGCUUACCCAAGAGGAUGGUUAGAGUUGAGCAUUGCUUUUAAAGUUGGUCAAAAUUUUAUUAGCAAUUACUAAGUAUAAGUAAAUACCAACCCAAUUAAGUAGUAGAACAAAAGUAACAACCUCACCUGCGAUGCAAUGCAUAUGACAAAUUGAGUUUAAGUUCCAUAAUUUAAUCAUGUGAGUGUCCGAGCCGCUCAUGACCGUGAGCACGGCUAGUAUACCAGUUUUACACUCUGCAGAGGUUGCGCAUCUUUACCCACAAGUCAUGUUACCCAUCUGCCAAGGGAUCGCGACUUCCCAUACACCUCUACCGAGGAGGCGAGGCAGGGUAACACUACGAGGCCUUUACAAAGUUCCACUAGCUUCAGAAAACCUGCUACAGUUUAUAGGAAGCUCCAAUGCAGGAAUCCCUUGCAGGACCGCCAUCGCAGCAAAAUCCUCCCGAGGGCCUCCCUACACUGACCACUCCCCUACUGCCCUUGCCCCUUUCAGGUAAGGUAGUCUUCCACUAGCUUUCCUAAUUAAUCGGCCAAGGGCGUCCCAUUAAACCCUUGUGGUAGCACUGUUUUCCCGGGUGGUUCUCCAUGUUCCAAUUAACAUAAUGAUCUUAUCAUGAACAGUGAUAAUAAACAGAUAAAAAAAGUGUGAUCAUGAAUAAUGUAUCUUCAUACCCAAAACCACAUAAAGCACUAACAAGUACUACCCAAAAAGUUCAGUGGUAAACAAGGUAUAAAGAUAGACAAACUAGGGUAACCUAUUGGGUCCCAUCAAAAUUAACCUAUGCAGAUCAUUAUGAUUAAUUAGAACAUGAGUAGGUAAAAAGAAGUGAUCAAGGGCACAACUUGCCUUCAAUGAGCUCCUGCUCAGCUAUCUCUACCAGCUGAACCCCAGAAUCCUCUGUAGCUUGCUCGUCUACUCGCAUCAACACAAUACAUACAUAGUAUAGCAAAAAUUAACAUUACACCAAACAUGUAAAUAAAAUACACAGUAGUAAUCUAGGCAUUAAAAUGAGAUCGAACUGGAAUUAUUAAUUUUGGAGUUAUAUAUUUUAAGUUACGAAUUUCCAAAGAUUUUAUGCAUUUAAUAUAGGGUUAAGUGAGAAAUAAAUUUUAAUUUGUAUUACAUGUACAAACAGUGGUACUAUUUGAUAGAGAAUAUUAUUACAAAAUUAUAGGAACUGGAAUGGACCAAUUUGGAGUUCAUAUGCAUUUUCUACAAAUUAAACAAGUUCUAUACAUUAAAAAUCUAUUUCUAUUUUAUUUUUAUCUGAAUUUCGAGUUGACUGGACUGGGCCUCAUUUCCUGGAAAACUCAGGGGUUUCGGUGCAACUAUUUCCAAGACUCAGAGAAUCCCUCAACAGACGGCGGGUUAAAUUCUAAAAUUUAUAAGGACUCUUCUGCAAAAGGUGCGGGUCAAAGAGGUAUCGGCCAAAUCGGACCGCUCGAUCCGAAACGGACGCGCCAGAUUAUAUCCAGGCGCGCCACUCUCCCUCGCUGACCCUCGACCGCACGAUCGGAAUCCAUCGACACAAAAUCGACUAGGGCGCGAUCUAAUCGUAGGCGCUGGAUGAAAAUCCGAUGGUUACGAACGUCGCGCGACUUCAUCAGAUCGUGACCGUGAAACCCAAGAUCAACGACUGGCGAGCGUCUUCAACCCUGCGCUCGUUCUCUACAGCAAGACGCCCAGCCGCCCACGCCUAAACACUACGCCAACCCGUCUCUCUCUCUCUCCUACCGGUUAACCGGCGCCCUGACCGGACAAGACCAACGACCAGUGGUCGGCACCGCCGUCCUCCUUCAACCUCCGGCUCCCAGGCACAAACGCCACAGCCUCCCCACUGAUCCAACGGCCAUGAGCCUUCUUCUUCAUCUCGACAACUACGCGGCGUCGCAACUCCAUUAGCGCACAGCCCCAACGAACGCCGCGCAUACAGCCACGACGAAGCACGGAUCGAAUUCGCCUAACAUGAAGGUAACAUCGAUCUACUCAGCUAGGAACAUACCAGUGCCCAGACACGAACAGGUUGCCCCCGGAUGGAGCGACGGUAGUCUCGCGGUUCAAUGGCGAUGCGCCGGCCCCGACCGAAAUCGCCUCUGCGCGGUACAGAAAAUCACCGAGUCCCGCCUCUUGGUCCUGCCCGCGCGCACCAGAAGCUCCUGCCGCGCCCAGGUCUGACGUCGCGAAGAACGCCAGCCACGAUACGGGGGCCGUCGCAGCCGCCACACGCUGCCAGACUCCCAGCAAAUCCCCCACACGCGAGCUCGCAGGUGAAGAUCCUCUCGGCUUGUUUGGGUAUGGUAAUUGCGGUGCGCGUCUAGGGAUUAGAGGAGAGAGAAGGUAAGGCUAUUUAUAGAUGACGGACAGAUGAUGCCCAACUGGAGCGGCCAAAAGGUAGGGCACGACUGUUACAUCCUAGGUCCGUUCGAAGCUCAAUCGGAUGCUAUGGCAAAGACGUGCGCUUUC